GGCCUGCUAGCUCAGUCGGUUAGAGCGUCGUGCUAAUAACGCGAAGGUCGUAGGUUCGAUCCCUGCGCUGGCCA
rnacentral:tRNA from 1 species